rnacentral:rRNA from 1 species
UUGAACGCUGGUGGCAUGCUUUACACAUGCAAGUCGAACGGCAGCACGAAAGAGCUUGCUCUUUUGGUGGCGAGUGGCGAACGGGUGAGUAAUGCAUCGGAACGUACCGAGUAAUGGGGGAUAACUGUCCGAAAGGAUAGCUAAUACCGCAUACGCUUUGAGAAGGAAAGUGGGGGCUCUUCGGACCUCACGUUAUUCGAGCGGCCGAUGUCUGAUUAGCUAGUUGGUGGGGUAAAGGCCUACCAAGGCGACGAUCAGUAGCGGGUCUGAGAGGAUGAUCCGCCACACUGGGACUGAGACACGGCCCAGACUCCUACGGGAGGCAGCAGUGGGGAAUUUUGGACAAUGGGCGCAAGCCUGAUCCAGCCAUGCCGCGUGUCUGAAGAAGGCCUUCGGGUUGUAAAGGACUUUUGUUAGGGAAGAAAAGGAUAGUGUUAAUACCAUUAUCUGCUGACGGUACCUAAAGAAUAAGCACCGGCUAACUACGUG